rnacentral:tRNA from 1 species
UCUUUAGUAGCUCAGUUGGUAGAGCAAAUGGCUGUUAACCAUGAGGUCGUCGGUUCAAAUCCGACCUAAAGAG